GACGUAGGUGGCGAACGUUAUCCGGAAUUAUUGGGCGUAAAGGAUGCGUAGAUGGUGUAGUAAGUUAUCGGUGGUAAUCGAGGCUCAACCUCGUGGAAGUCGGUAAUACUGCUAUGCUAGAGGAUAGGAGAGGUUAACGGAACUCCCUGUGGAGCGGUGAAAUGCGUAGAUAUAGGGAAGAACACCAAUAAGGCGAAGGCAGUUAACUAUUCUAUUCCUGACAUUGAGGCAUGAAAGCGUGGGGAGCAAAACGGGAGUUAG
rnacentral:rRNA from 1 species